AUGAUUGGCUCCACUAUUAUUCAGGGAUUGUGUGUUGAUAACCUGAUAACAGUGGUACAAACUGUCAAGAUUUUGGCUCUUGAUAUGCACAAUCUUAGUUUGGAUACUGUUAUUGAAUUGAUGAGAUGCUUUCCGUGCUUGGAGAAGUUGAGCAUUCAGUCAUUUCAAUCAAGACCGGGGAAUUUGUGGCGUCGUAAACACCGGAAUCUGUUAAAAUGUUUUGACAUGAGUCUGAAGACGUUAGUGUUACAACUAUAUCGGGGGAAGAAGUCGCAAAUUAACUUUCUUACAUUCUUUGUAUUGAAUGCGAAAGUGCUAGAGUCAGUGACACUUGGCAUCACAACCAGGAAUAACAAUGAGAAGUUCUUGGUAAAACAACGCAGGAAGCUUGAGCUAGAGAACAGGGUUUCCAGAGAUGCUCAGUUUCAUUUUAGAACUGGUAGUUGUGUCCGCAGUUCUUAUGAUAUCAAGCAUAUCGGUGAUUUGGAUUUAACUGAUCCAUUUGCACAUAUGUAG
rnacentral:rRNA from 1 species